GUCAGGAUGGCCGAGCGGUCUAAGGCGCCAGACUUAAGGAUAUAAAUCUUACUUCACAAAAGCAUCUGAAUUCUGGUCUUCAAUGAAGGCGUGGGUUCAAAUCCCACUCCUGACA
rnacentral:tRNA from 1 species